rnacentral:rRNA from 1 species
UACGAAGGGGGCUAGCGUUGCUCGGAAUCACUGGGCGUAAAGCGCACGUAGGCGGCUUGUUAAGUCAGGGGUGAAAUCCUGGAGCUCAACUCCAGAACUGCCUUUGAUACUGAGGAUCUUGAGUUCGGGAGAGGUGAGUGGAACUGCGAGUGUAGAGGUGAAAUUCGUAGAUAUUCGCAAGAACACCAGUGGCGAAGGCGGCUUACUGGACCGGUUCUGACGCUGAGGCGCGAAAGCUAGGGGAGCAAACGGG